rnacentral:rRNA from 1 species
UACGUAGGAGGCAAGCGUUGUCCGGAAUUACUGGGUGUAAAGCGCGUGUAGGUGGGAGGCCAAGUCUGUGGUGAAAGCGCCCGGCUCAACUGGGCAGAGUCCAUGGAAACUGGUCACCUGGAGGACGGUAGAGGCGAGUGGAAUUCCCGGUGUAGUGGUGAAAUGCGUAGAGAUCGGGAGGAACACCAGUGGCGAAGGCGGCGCGCUGGGCCGGUCCUGACACUGAGACGCGAAGGCGUGGGGAGCGAACGGG